rnacentral:rRNA from 1 species
UGCCGCGUGUGUGAAGAAGGCCUUCGGGUUGUAAAGCACUUUCAGUUGUGAGGAAAAGUUAGUAGUUAAUACCUGCUAGCCGUGACGUUAACAACAGAAGAAGCACCGGCUAACUCCGUGCCAGCAGCCGCGGUAAUACGGAGGGUGCGAGCGUUAAUCGGAAUUACUGGGCGUAAAGCGCACGCAGGCGGUUUGUUAAGCUAGAUGUGAAAGCCCCGGGCUCAACCUGGGACGGUCAUUUAGAACUGGCAGACUAGAGUCUUGGAGAGGGGAGUGGAAUUCCAGGUGUAGCGGUGAAAUGCGUAGAUAUCUGGAGGAACAUCAGUGGCGAAGGCGACUCCCUGGCCAAAGACUGACGCUCAUGUGCGAAAGUGUGGGUAGCGAACAGGAUUAGAUACCCUGGUAGUCCACACCGUAAACGCUGUCUACUAGCUGUUUGUGGCUUUAAGCCGUGAGUAGCGAAGCUAACGCGAUAAGUAGACCGCCUGGGGAGUACGGCCGCAAGGUUAAAACUCA